GCUCUCGUAGCUCAGCGGUUAGAGCUUCCUCCUAUUUGUAUGCGCUACAAUGAUUCAAUGAGGAAGGCGUGGAGUUCGACUCCUGCCGAGGGCG